rnacentral:rRNA from 1 species
ACCACCCCGGUGAAACAGCCUACCAAGAACCNNAACAGAGCCGGCAUCAGGUNGACACACCCAUAACGCCAAGCAACANNNAGCCACACCCACACGGGCCCGCAGCAGUACUUAAUACUAGGCCAUAAGCGUAANNNNNGCUUGACCUGAUAAUGGGGUUNAUACANGGGCCGGUUAAUCUCNGUGCCAGCGACCGCGGUUACACGACAGACCCAAGAUAACGUCACCGGCGUAAAGCACGACUAAAAUAACAGUUUAAUAAAACNUAGGGCUGAAGACNAUACUGGGCCGUAAAAAGCCAUAAGUCACACNUAAACUACCACCCUAACAAAUCAAANCCAUUUCAACUCGUGAAAGCAGGGGGACAAACUAAGAUUAGAUACCUUACUAUGCCCCGCCGUAACCAGGCAAUCAAAUAACCAAUUGCCCGCCAAAUAACUACGAGUAAAAACUUAAAAUUUAAAAGACUUGACGGUACUUCACAACAGCCUAGAGGAGCCUGUCUAAUAACCGAUAAUCCACGAUUAACCCAACCCGUUUUUGCCCAANCAGUCUAUAUACCGCCGUCGCCAGCUUGCCUUGUAAAAGAAACAAANGCAAGCCAAAUAGUANUAACACUAGCACGACAGGUCGAGGUGUAACAAAUAAACGGGCCCAAGAUGGGCUACAUUUUCUNUAUCAGAAGAAACGAAUAUANGUAUGAAACAACAACCUGAAGGUGGAUUUAGCAGUAAGAUAAAAAUANGAAUGUUUACCUGAAANCNAUGCAAUGAAGUGCGUACACACCGCCCGUCAUCCCUGUAANNAACAACACCAACAUUCAUAAACCCACANAAUACUCCAAAGCAGGGCAAGUCGUAACAC